rnacentral:rRNA from 1 species
UCCUGCCAGUAGUCAUAUGCUACGUUCAAGGGCUAAGCCAUGCAUGUCUCAGAGUACAUGGAUUGACAGUGGGUCUGUGAAUGGCUCCUUACAUCAGCAGUCAUCUCAGUGAUAGAGUGUGGAUGAUGCCAGACUGCCCAGGCAUCCAAUGGACAUCCUCCAAAACCUGGUGGCUAAUACACAGAAGCAACAGUCUGCUGCAGCAUAUGGCUUUUGAAUGCUCAUCCCUGCUGGAGAGGGCCACAGCAGUGGAUUGCAACCAGCUGUCUGAAAGACUAGCGCCUGGUAAAGGCAGUAUGCUUGCAGGUUGACUCAGGCUGGUCCCAUGGAAGACACUGCACUGGCAGAAUCAUUUGUGGAAUCCCACUAUGCUUGAUCACACGAACUUCUGACCUAUCAGCUCUGACUGUGGUGUAGUGGACCACAGUGGCCAUCACGGGUAACGGAGAAUCUGGGUUCGAUUCCGGAGAGGGAGCCUGAGAGACGGCUACCACUACCAAGGUGGGCAGCAGGCGCGCAAAUUGCCCAAUGCAAACACAUCUUGCGAGGCAGCAACGAACUGCAACAAUUCUGCAGGCAUUCUUUUGCUAGUGGAAUCUGUAAUGGAUGCUAUCCAAACACAGUGAUGAGUACCAACUGGAGGGCAAGUCUGGUGCCAGCAGCUGCGGUAAUUCCAGCUCCAAGGGCGUAUACUAACAUUGCUGCUGUUAAAACACUUGUAGUCUGCCACUGGAUGCAGGUCUGCUGGGGGCCUGGGGUGACCGCCCAGUCUAAAGCUGGGGGGCACCACCCUGGGGACACAACCCCUGGCAGUAUGUCCUGUAUCCUCAAUGAUAUGAUGGUGAGAACUGCUCCUGCAAGAAGUCCCCUUCAGUGGAGACCCAAACCAGCAACACACCCCAUGCUUGUCAAGCCUGUGGAAAGCCCAGCCCAGUGCUGCAACCUCUGCCCCAGACUGCUCUCGGAGCCCACCCAUGCUGCCACCGUGGAAAACUCAGUGUGCUCAAAGCAUCCUUCUUGGCUGGAUGCCUAUCCGUGGAAUGGCAAUGCAUUGACCAGAUGUGGCCAUGGAGUUGUGCUAGCCUUGGAGCUCAUCCAGGAUAAUCUGAUGCUGUGUAUUGGAAGUGCUGCCAUGAGUUCCCUCCAGUCCCCAUGAAGCAACCAGUUACAGUCACCAACCAGAGACGAUGGGACCACUCAAGGUGGAAGAUAUUGCUGCGCCAGAGGUGAAAUUCUUAGACCGCAGCAAGAUCCACUGCGGCGAAGGCGUUCUGCAUGUCUGAGUUCGUCGAUCAAGAAUGAGAGCCUGGGGAGCAAAGAUGAUUAGACACCUUCGUAGUCCAGAGCUGUAAACUAUGCCAGCUGUUUGGUGGCAGGGCAAUCCUAGGACCCAGUCACCACCUACCCCCACUCCGAGAAAUCCAAGCCUUUGGGUUCAGGGGGGAGUACUGCUGCAAGGCUGAAACUUAAAGGAAUUGACGGAAUGGCACCACAAGGCGUGGAGUAUGCGGCUUAAUUUGACUCAACACGGGGAACGUUACCAGGUCAGGACGUUGCUGGGAUUGACAGAUUGAGAGCUCUUUCUUGAUCCUUCGAAUGGUGGUGCAUGGCCGCUCCUGAUUGGUGGAGUGAUUUGUCUGGUUGAUUCCGAUAACGAGUGAGACAUCUACCUCCCACUAGCUCCAGUCUCGUGAUUGUAGGGCCUGGAUGGUGGCCCCUCCCUCUGUUGGUUGUCCCUAUGGGCCUCCUGGUGGUGAUGCUGCCAAUCCCCCGAGAGUGCUGGGUUCCAAAGCCUUCUCUGAGGUGCUGAGCAUAAUCCCCAACAGUGCUUGCAUGCGAGAUACAACAGCAGGUCUGUGAUGCUCCAAGAUGUCCUGGGCCGCACGCGCACUACAUUGACACAGUGAAGGUGUAACCCUUGCUAUUAGCUGAGGCCUGUCCAGAAGUGGAUGAGAAACCAUACAAGCCUGUGUUGUCCUGGGGAUAGAUGAUUGCCACUGUCUGCCUUGAACGAGGAAUGCCUUGUAAGUGUCUGUCAUCAGCAGACCUUGAAUACGUCCCUGCCAUUUGUACACACCGCCCGUCGUUGCUACCGAUGAGAACAGGAUAGAGCCAUCCAGAGGUGCCAUGCCCUUUGUUCUGGUGUGAGCUGAAAUUGGGCAAUGUCAAGCUCUUAGAGGAAGCAAAAGUCGUAACAAGGUUGCUGUAGGUGAACCUGCAGAAAGGAAUCAAGGAAGGAUC